rnacentral:rRNA from 1 species
UACGUAGGCAGCAAGCGUUGUUCGGAAUUACUGGGCGUAAAGAGUGUGUAGGCGGUGCUCCAAGUCUGGUGUGAAAUCUCCCGGCUUAACUGGGAGGGUGCAUUAGAAACUGGAAUGCUAGAGGACGGGAGAGGUAAGCGGAAUUCCUGGUGUAGCGGUGAAAUGCGUAGAUAUCAGGAGGAACACCUGUGGUGUAGACAGCUUACUGGACCAUUUCUGACGCUGAGACACGAAAGCGUGGGUAGCAAACAGG